GCCAGUGUGGCAUAGUGGUUUGAACAUUGGAUUAUGACUCUGGAGACCAGGGUUUGAAUCCCCGCUCAGCCA